rnacentral:rRNA from 1 species
UGGGGAAUCUUGCGCAAUGCGCGAAAGCGUGACGCAGCAACGCCGCGUGAGGGAAGACGGCCUUCGGGUUGUAAACCUCUUUCAGUUGGGACGAAGCCACGACGGUUAAUACCCGUCUGUGGUGACGGUACCUUCAGAAGAAGCCCCGGCUAACUACGUGCCAGCAGCCGCGGUAAUACGUAGGGGGCAAGCGUUGUCCGGAAUCAUUGGGCGUAAAGCGCGUGUAGGCGGCUUGGUAAGUCCGCUCUGAAAGCCCGGGGCUCAACCCCGGGAGGCGGGUGGAUACUGUCAAGCUCGAGUCCGGAAGAGGCGAGUGGAAUUCCUGGUGUAGCGGUGAAAUGCGCAGAUAUCAGGAGGAACACCAAUGGCGAAGGCAGCUCGCUGGGACGUGACUGACGCUGAGACGCGAAAGCGUGGGGAGCAAACAGGAUUAGAUACCCCCGUAGUCC